AGCGAACGCUGGCGGCAGGCCUAACACAUGCAAGUCGAACGAACCUUUCGGGGUUAGCGGCGGACGGGUGAGUAACACGUGGGAACGUGCCUUUAGGUUCGGAAUAACUCAGGGAAACUUGUGCUAAUACCGACUGUGCCCUCCGGGGGAAAGAUUUAUAGCCUUUAGAGCGGCCCGCGUCUGAUUAGCUAGUUGGUUGAGGUUAUGGCUCACCAAGGCGACGAUGAGUAGCUGGUCUGUGAGGAUGAUCAGACACAUUAGGACUGAGACACGGCCCAAACUGCUGCGGGAGGCAGCAGUGAGGGAUCUUGCGCAGUGGGCGAAAGCCUGACGCAGCCUUGCCGCGUGGAUGAUGAAGGUCUUAGGAUUGUAAAAUUCUUUCACCGGGGACAAUAAUGACGGUACCCGGAGAAGAAGCCCCGGGUAACUACGUG
rnacentral:rRNA from 1 species